rnacentral:rRNA from 1 species
GAUGAACCGUCCAAACGUUAUUCGGAAUCACUGGGCUUAAAGGGUGCGUAGGCGGCGCGGAAAGUUGGGUGUGAAAUCCCUCAGCUCAACCGAGGAACUGCGCCCAAAACUACCGUGCUCGAGGGAGAUAGAGGUGAGCGGAACCUAGGGUGGAGCGGUGAAGUGCGUUGAUAUCCUAAGGAACACCGGUGGCGAAAGCGGCUCACUGGAUCUCUUCUGACGCUGAGGCACGAAAGCUAGGGUAGCAAACGGG